CAGUAGCCGCGGUAAAACGUAGGUGGUAAGCGUUGUCCGGAAUUAUUGGGCGUAAAGGGCUCGCAGGCGGUUUCUUAAGUCUGAUGUGAAAGCCCCCGGCUCAACCGGGGAGGGUCAUUGGAAACUGGGAAACUUGAGUGCAGAAGAGGAGAGUGGAAUUCCACGUGUAGCGGUGAAAUGCGUAGAGAUGUGGAGGAACACCAGUGGCGAAGGCGACUCUCUGGUCUGUAACUGACGCUGAGGAGCGAAAGCGUGGGGAGCGAACAGGAUUAGAUACCCCAGUAGUCCCGUCUCUUAUACA
rnacentral:rRNA from 1 species